AGCAGCCGCGGUAAUUCCAGCUCCAAUAGCGUAUAUUAAAGUUGUUGCAGUUAAAAAGCUCGUAGUUGAAUUUCGGGAUCAGUACGCCGGUCGUGCCUUCGGUAUGUACUGGUGUCACUGAUUCCUCCCUUCUGAAGAACCGUUAUGCCAUUAAUUUGGUGUGACGGGGAAUCAGGACUGUUACUUUGAAAAAAUUAGAGUGUUUAAAGCAGGCUCGCGCUUGAAUACAUUAGCAUGGAAUAAUGAAAUAGGACGUUUGAUCUUAUUUUGUUGGUUUCUAGGAUCGACGUAAUGAUUAAUAGGGAUAGUUGGGGGCAUUAGUAUUCAAUUGUCAGAGGUGAAAUUCUUGGAUUUAUUGAAGACUAACUACUGCGAAAGCAUUUGCCAAGGAUGUUUUCAUUAAUCAAGAACGAAAGUUAGGGGAUCGAAGACGAUCAGAUACCGUCGUAGUCUUAACCAUAAACUAUGCCGACUAGGGAUCGGAUGAUGUUAUUUUUAAUGA
rnacentral:rRNA from 1 species